CAGGGAUUUUUUAUUUUAAGUCCAGUCGUUAGAGGUGGAGGAGUUGGGGCGGAGCUUCUUUCUGUAUCCGUUUAGGCAGAAUGAUUGUAGUGAGUACUCCGGGCCAGUGUAUUUUGUUGGAAAGAAAGCGUUUCCAAGUCAGGAGCAGAGCCAAACUUCGGCUCGAAAAUGGGACAACCUUAGUUCAACUCCCGACUCUGCUGCCUAAUACUUGUGUGACUUUGGACAAGUCAAUUCACUUUUCUGGGCUCCAGUUUCUUCUAAUGCAAAAUGAAAGGCUUGGGGAAGAUGGUCUUUGCUGUCCCGUGUAGCUCUAAAUCCUGGAUCUUAUGUCUUGGGUUCAAAUUUUGACUCGGUCAUUUCCUGGCUGUGUCAUUUCCCAGAGUUACUUGGAGUUAAAGUAAAAGUGAGACUAGUGAAAAUAAACCUGAAGGCCGUAUACCUGCAAGUAGGUGUAGGAGAUUGGAUGCUUUAUAGCAAUUAGCUGUGAGACACUGGGCCAGUGACCCUUUCUCUGGGCUUCCGUAUACUUAUCGGUAAAAAGAGGAGGCGGAAUGAACUCCAUGACCUCAGAGGUUCCUUGCAGCUCUAAAUUUAUGGUUUCUUCCUUUUCCUUCAGGUCCUUCACCUGCGUAGUUUACUAGGCAAUGGAAGGACUGACCCUAGCCUCUGGCAUAUUUAAUCGCCCUUUCCAGGGGUUAGAAAUUGGGACUCAGCGCCCUUUCCCUUCUUUUCAAUUUCACACACAGUUAAUUUCUGGGAGGAAAAACACCGCGGAUCAAAACGAUAAACUUCUCCGUCCCCCACUUAAAAGGGCUCCGCUGUAUGCCCCUCUCCUGGCCAACCCUGCUCUCCCGGGUUUGCUCUCAGCUCUGCCUCAGCCUGUCACUCACCACCCGUGUCCCCCUCCCCGUGCAGCCCAGUUUGGCCCCGAGGCUCGGCUGGGGGAGUCCCUAGACACGGACACUUCUUGGGCAGCACUAGCCCGGAGCGCGCGCGCGUCUGGGUGGAUGGGAAGGAGGAGGGGGCCGGGGGCGGAGCGAGGGGGCGGCGUGGGCCGUCCGGGGGCUGCUCCCUCUCGGAGGCAGGGGGAGAGGAGGGGAGGGAGAUGACGCGGCCUGGGAGCCGGGGAGCCCAGGCUGCUGCCGCUGCCGCUGCCGCUGCCGCCGCCGCCUUCGCUGCCUGCUGCUGCGGCUGCUGUUCCGCGCCCCGCGCCGCUGCCUCCGAGACUCGCACUGCCAGCCGGCCGUUCGCCGCCGCCUAGAUAAUCCGGGGCCGCUCUUGGCCCUAGUCCCUUGUCUCGGCUCCAGCGCCGGCCACUCGAGAACUUCUCCUCCGCCCUCCCUCCCACCCCAGCGCCGCCCUCUCGGAGGCUCCUCGUCUCUUUCUCUCCUGGCAGACCCACCGCCCGCAGCCCCCGGCCCGGCCCACCCGCAGUUUCUCAGGUCCCCUGGGGGGGACAGGGGGUGCAAUGCGCCAGGCUGCGGGGAGCUCCGCGGCGGCGGCAGCCGCUGCCCGGGGCACCACGUAGAAACUCUCGGCGUCCGCCGCCCCCUCCGUGAUCUGGGAGCAGCUGGAGCAGCGGCAUCUGCGGCAUCUGCAGAACGCUGGGACCCUCUUCCCCACGCAUCCUCAGCCCAGGCCCGCCGGGCUCCGGAGUUCCUCUGCUCCCGCUCGGAGCUCGCUCGCCUCGCCUGCUUAGCCCAAGGCUGAGCCUCCUCCUCCUUCUCCUCCUCCUCCUCCACCACUACCACCACCUCCUCCUCCUUCUUCUCCUCCUCCUAGCCUGCCCGCCCUCCCCUCUCGGUCUCUGUUGUCUUCUUCGUCUCCGGACUAGUGUCGGGAAGUUUCCCGGGCUCUGCGGAGUCCAGAUGUGUGACCUGAUUGAGUCCCAGCCGGCGGAGAAGAUGAGCAAGAUGAAGAAGUUGCGCCGAACUUUGUCAGAGAGUUUCAGUCGCAUAGCUUUGAAGAAAGAGGACAGCAGCUUUGAUGAGAUAUGUGUCACAAAGAUGUCUACACGGAACUGCCCGGGAAUGGACUCAGUGAUCAAACCCCUGGACACAAUUCCUGAGGACAAGAAAGUCCGAGUUCAGAGGACACAAAGCACUUUCGACCCAUUCGAGAAGCCUGCCACCCAAGUAAAGAGGGUGCAUUCUGAGAACAAUGCUUGCAUUAAUUUCAAGUCUUCUUCCAGUGGGAAGGAAUCUCCCAAAGCUCGCCGGCAUUCUAGCCCCAGCUCGCCCACAAGUCCCAAAUUUGGAAAAGCCGACUCUUAUGAAAAAUUGGAGAAGUUGGGAGAAGGGUCUUAUGCCACUGUGUACAAAGGAAAAAGCAAGGUAAAUGGGAAACUAGUGGCUCUGAAGGUGAUUCGGCUCCAGGAGGAAGAAGGUACUCCCUUCACAGCAAUCCGGGAAGCCUCUCUGUUAAAAGGACUAAAGCAUGCUAAUAUUGUAUUACUUCAUGACAUCAUCCAUACCAAGGAGACAUUGACACUUGUGUUUGAAUAUGUGCACACUGAUUUAUGUCAGUACAUGGACAAACACCCUGGAGGGCUUCAUCCAGACAAUGUGAAGUUGUUUUUAUUUCAGUUGCUGCGAGGACUGUCUUACAUCCACCAGCGUUAUAUUUUGCACAGAGACCUGAAGCCACAGAAUCUUCUCAUCAGUGACACGGGGGAGUUAAAGCUGGCAGAUUUCGGUCUUGCAAGAGCAAAAUCGGUCCCUAGCCACACCUACUCCAAUGAAGUGGUUACUCUGUGGUACAGGCCUCCAGAUGUCCUCUUGGGCUCAACAGAAUACUCCACCUGCCUUGAUAUGUGGGGAGUUGGCUGUAUCUUUGUUGAAAUGAUCCAAGGGGUUGCUGCUUUUCCAGGAAUGAAAGAUAUUCAAGACCAACUUGAACGAAUAUUUCUGGUUCUUGGAACGCCAAAUGAGGAUACGUGGCCUGGAGUCUAUUCCCUGCCACAUUUUAAGCCGGAACGCUUUACCCUGUACAGCUCUAAAAACCUUAGACAAGCAUGGAAUAAGCUCAGCUAUGUGAACCAUGCAGAGGAUCUGGCCUCCAAACUACUCCAGUGUUUCCCAAAGAACAGAUUGUCUGCCCCAGCAGCCCUCAACCAUGAGUAUUUCAGUGAUCUGCCCCCCCGGCUAUGGGAGCUAACUGAUAUGUCUUCUGUUUUUACUGUCCCAAAUGUAAGAUUACAACCAGAAGCUGGAGAAAGUAUGCGGGCCUUUGGAAAAAACAAUAGUUAUGGCAAAAGUCUAUCAAAUAGCAAGCACUGAAAAUCACAUGGUCGCCAAAGGGGAUGCAGGACAAUGACUUUGCAAACUUCUGAAUAAAAUUGAACCCACAAAAUAUGUAGGAGCUGGUCACUUACAUGUGGCACAAGAAUGAAGAAUCUGUAUACUUCAAUGCCCUGAGCAAUAAUACUACCCAGGCUUUAAUUUGAGGAAAUCCAUCCUGAAUGGAUUCACAUUCCCCUCAGAUCUCUUCAUUAAGGAUUAAGUUGUCAUCAUUCUGGGGAGAAGAAAAUCUAAUGAAGAGGCCAAUACUAUGAAGGGAAUCAUGGUUCAGUUUUCUUUCUCUCUCCCUAUGGUGGAUUUUGUUCAGAAGAAAAUCGAAGCUGGCAAGACCCUAUUUUCCCUGCAAUUUAUUUAAAACCUUGCACGCAUUUGGAUACCUUGUGAUUUCAGAGAACUAUGUGAAGAUUAAGCUUUGCUUACUGAUACAUGGCAUGUAUUCUUUUCAGUCUUUUGUGUUGGAUUUUGUUUGAUUUUCCACUGCAGCGCGGCAUCGUUGUAAAGGUUUUUAUGCUUUCACCAGCAAGGUCUUAAAUACAUUAAGACAACACAUUUGGUGUUCACACUUCUCCAGUAAUGUCUGUACAUAAAAGCCACAGAGUGGCAUAAAAGAAUGUGUGUUUUCUUUGAGAAUAGUUCAACCAGUAGGAAGGCCAUUUUUAGCUAGAGCAAACCCAUAUCCUGUGACUGACUGACAAGGAUAGUCCCUGGCUUCGAUGCCAUCCGUGUUUUAUUUACUUCUUGAGCAUCUUUGCGUAUAGGUUUGAUUUUUUUUUAAAUCCAUGGAAAUAAUCACACACUUAUUUAGCACAUCAGAAUUUGGUUACUGUUCUUAAAUUACGUAGCAUGCCAGUCAUCAGAAUAAGUUGACAAUGAAACCAGGGCUGGGGGUGGGGGGCGGGAUGGGGUGGGAAGGAUCAGGGAAACAAGAUAUAUGAACAAAGACAGUAAUUAAUGAAUGAAUUGCUUACUAUUUGGCCUUUGGAGAUCAAAGUAACUUUUUGGAUUUCAUGGGUAUUGUCUACACUUGGUUUUUCCCAUACUGUCUCAUCUUUGGGGUAUUUCCUAAAGGAAAAAAGAGGUUAUAGGACUAGGGUGUAGAAAAACUGUAUUUGCUGAAUGAGCCAUUAGAGCAAUCUUUGCUGGUUAGCUUUAGAAAAAAGAGAAAAUGUAAAGCUGUCCACAGGUAAGUUUGCUCUCUCACAUUCAAAGACCUUCCAGUUCCAUUUUGUCUACAUUUCAACCUGAUUGAAUGAUGCCACUGAACACCCCUCGAACUGACCGCUGAAACAAUUAUUCCAAUGCACAUUUUAGAAAUGAUGUACUAGUGUCAUUUAGAAAGAGGGACACAGCUGCCCUUGUUUGAGGAUGAGAGGGACACCAUGGGAGAGGAGGAGAAGAUGGCAAAGUGAAAAGAGGAGGGAGCUGGAAGCAUCUGAUUUUCUUGGAUCUGGAAUGAAUGGUGUCUGAAUUCAAGGAAACCAGGAGUGCCAUGUGCCUCACUGUUGAAUUGUAAACUACACAGAGCCCAAGGAAUACUUCGUUCCUAUCCCCAGGACACAGCUUCCCAUGGAAAUAUCAGCUUAUACAUUGGCUCAAUCAUAACAUUUCCCUCUUGGUUUUCCAUUUAUUACGGCUAGGACUAGGGAAGUCUAGCCAAGUUGACCAAUACUUGAUCAUAGAGAGCGAUUUUCCCCCUUACAUUCAGAAUGCAGCAGAGCUAUGAAGCUGAAUGCUAGAACUAUCUGCACCAUAGAAUGGGAUGCGACUGCUUAAAUAUCGUAACAUAAUGGGUGAUCAGAGGUUUGAACCUUGAUUUUUAAUUGUGAGUACCUGCUAAGCCAAGUAUUCUUUGCCAUUUGCCAUUUAAGGAAGGCAAAAUAAUCACCCAAUGAGAAAAUGUUUGCCGUUUUCUUCCAAGAGAUCUGCUCCAUCCUUUUAUUAUACAUUCCUACCAAAUCUGAGGUAUUGGGAGGCAUUUUGAGCCUUUGAAGUGUUUUGUUUUAAAACGACCUGAUAUUAGGAUUUUUUUUAAAGGAAAUUACAUUCUCGGUCUCAAAUAACAUUUUCAGGGGUUUGUUCAAAAGCUUCAUGUUCAUGUUUCCAUUUGGAUGAGAGAGAUUUUCAUUUUGUUCAUUCAAGCUGAGGAUUACAAUGACAAAAUCUUACAGUUGACAGGUGGAAGAAGAAAACCCUGAAAACAUUUACUAGAACAAAGGUUCAAAUGAGAAACAGAAAGGCCAUGCCAUAGGUGUGUAUCAUUUGUUCGAAGACAACUACUUUAGGAAAGCCAGAUGGAUAUUUAUGCUACUCCAUGAAGAAAUCUACUGGUUGGACUUAGAACAAAUGGCCUCCAGAAUCCGUUGCCUUUCAGGAAGGUUUAUAGACCUUCUACUUGGCCAUCCAGGGUAUAAAGCUACAGAUUUGGUCAGCUCCCUCUUCCUUUUUCAUUAAUGUUCCCUUCUCCUUUUCUCCCCUUCUUCUUGUUUAAAUUAGCCCUGGAAACUGUUGCAUUAGCAGUUUAUUCUUCAAUUGAGGAAGCACUAGAAUGUUGGGCAAGUUUAUUUUCCUAUAAAAGAAUAACUGAAAAUCAAAGAGCAAGGCUAGUUAGAAUGCCUAAGCACUGUGAUCGUAUCAACAUUACAUCACUGCAGUGUUCUGAAUUGGAUCUUGGGAUUUCAUUUCCAUUUUUUUCUUCUUUUAAAAAAAACAUUCUGGUUAGCAAUACUUCUGCACACAUGACAGGAAAACUUUCCUUUGCGAAGGAAAGUUUGGCAAAACCUACCAGAGGAGGUGGGGAAAGGGGAGCUUUCAAUCCACUGAUAUGAGGGAUGAGAGAUAUUUCUACCUCCCAAGAGUGAGAAGAGAAGAUAAAGGGGGUCUUUUCUCCCCUGGUGUUGGUAGAGGACAUGGACCUCUUGGCAUUCUCUGUAUACACACGACUGAGAAGUAUAGUCCAUAUUCUAUGUUAUGCUUCUUUACUAACUACUCAUUUGUGAAUAUUCUUGAUUUUGUAAUCUCUGUUCCUGAAGAAGAUGUGUAGACUGUACAUACAAGGGGAGAAGACUGGCUCCCCUUCGAAAUCGAAAUGCAGAAGCCUCUUUACUGGCUUGUGGGUGAUAAUAACCUUCUGUGUCACCCCUUUACAAUUUUCACACACAUAUACCAAAAAAUAAAAUAAAACAAGCAAUGUCCCCCUGCCCCCCACCCAAGUGGCACAUCCAAGAUCUGUGUUCUUUAGCUGGAAGUGUUUUCUGUUGUUUUCCUGUUUUUUUUUUUUAAUUUUGGUUUUUGGAUGACACACUAAUGUGUACUUUGUAAAAGGAUAAAUGGGUACAGGAUGAAGGCAGCCAUGUCAUUCAGAAAAAAAAAUGUACUAUUUCUUCACAAUGACAGCCUCGUAAACAGAAUGGUAUAAUACAUGUUGCAUUAUUUGUUACAACUUGUACUUUGUCUGUAUUAUGAGAGAUGUAACAGUUUGUCAGCUGUAAUUUGUUUUCUUGUAACAUGAUAUGGAAUAAAGUGUAGCCGAAUCUCCCUA